AAGUGGCGAUCUGCAGGCUGGGAAGGAGUCUAGCCAAACUCACGAGUUGAGUUGGGGGUUGGGAAGAGUGAAAAGAAUGUUCCAGGCUGAGGGCGGCUGCGAGGCCGACUUAAAUCUCCGGCACCUGAGGCCGCCUCAGUUCCUGCGAGUUUCCUCCUACUGUGAACAUCAGUGCUCUGGCCUCCGUCUCCUGGCCACCUCCCUCGCGCCAUGGCCCCGAAGCGGCAAUCUGCGAUCCUGCCUCAGCCCAAGAAACCCAGACCCGUUGCUGCCCCGAAGCUGGAGGACAAGUCGGCCUCUCCCGGCCUGCCGAAGGGAGAAAAAGAACAGCAAGAAGCAAUUGAACAUAUUGAUGAAGUACAAAAUGAAAUAGACAGGCUUAAUGAACAAGCCAGUGAGGAAAUUUUGAAAGUAGAACAAAAAUAUAACAAACUCCGCCAACCAUUUUUUCAGAAGAGGUCAGAAUUGAUCGCCAAAAUCCCAAAUUUUUGGGUAACAACAUUUGUCAACCAUCCACAAGUGUCUGCACUGCUUGGGGAGGAAGACGAGGAGGCCCUGCACUAUUUGACCAGAGUUGAAGUGACAGAAUUUGAAGACAUUAAAUCAGGUUACAGAAUAGAUUUUUAUUUUGAUGAAAAUCCUUACUUUGAAAAUAAAGUUCUCUCCAAAGAAUUUCAUCUGAAUGAGAGCGGUGACCCAUCUUCAAAGUCCACCGAA
rnacentral:lncRNA from 1 species